GAUGAACGCUAGCGGCAGGCUUAAUACAUGCAAGUCGAGGGGCAGCAGGUCUGUAGCAAUACAGAUGCUGGCGACCGGCAAACGGGUGCGGAACACGUACUGAACCUUCCUUUAAGUGGGGAAUAGCCCAGGGAAACUUGGAUUAAUACCCCGUAAUAUAAUGAGGUGGCAUCACCUUAUUAUUAUAGCUCCGGCGCUUGAAGAUGGCAGUGCGGCUGAUUAGGUAGUUGGCGGGGUAACGGCCCACCAAGCCUGCGAUCAGUAACUGGUGUGAGAGCACGACCAGUCACACGGGCACUGAGACACGGGCCCGACUCCUACGGGAGGCAGCAGUAAGGAAUAUUGGGCAAUGGACGCAAGUCUGACCCAGCCAUGCCGCGUGGAGGAUGAAGGUCCUCUGGAUUGUAAACUUCUUUUAUAUGGGACGAAAAAGGGUCUUUCUAGAUCAACUGACGGUACCAUAUGAAUAAGCACCGGCUAACUCCGUGCCAGCAGCCGCCGUAAGAC
rnacentral:rRNA from 1 species